GAUUCAUGACUUGAAAGAAGCAGAAGAUGAGAGACAUGAUGUUGUUGUGGAUUGUGAACAUAGCAUACCAAUCUGGGUUAAAACCCCCACCACAGCCUCAAUUGUCUGCAGGAUCGACCCUUCCAAGCUUUCCUGACUUUACCAGUUCUGUUCAGAUAGUUUAUACGUCUGCAUCGAUGUUUGUCCCAGUCCGACGGUAAAAAAUGAAGUUUGUUCUGGCGAGGCAGUACUUGCACAAUUCUUCUUCAGCGAAACCCUUCUACGCAGUUGCUCACCGUCGUGUACUCAAUGUCGUCAAUCAGGCCAGGUGACCAUGUUCCGAGAGCAGAAUGAGCUGCUCCCACGAGAUUCAGUCUUUUCCGUCGCGGUAAUAGCUAAAGCGGAACCGCCCACCAUUCUGAAAUCCAUCUUUGCUCGAGCGUAACUUGCAGGACGUCACUUCGAGGAAGAUCUCCUCAGCAGAACUUAGACUGCCGUUCUCUGUGACGUGAAAUUUUGACCUAUCUCCGAGAAAUUCUGGAUGCAUGCCAAGGAUUAGUAGACUGAAAUCGCCCUGUGCUGCUAUUUCAUAUCUACUCAGACUUUCGCAGACAAGAAAUACAGGAAUCAGAGCCUGAUGGUAAGAGCCAGAAUUCACGCACCCUUCACCGACAAGUUGCAUCGUCGAAACGUCAACCCUAGGAAUAUUUUCGUAGCCGUCAGGUAAAUGUACGAGCUAUAGUUGUAUCGGAGAGAGGGAUCAUGGUACACCUGUGCAGAUAACCACAUCCAAGCUCAUCACGUCGGUCACAGAAGCUGAAGAGUCGAAAGAACUUGCAACCAAGAUUCAGUCCCAUAGUCUGUCAGGUGAAGAGCAUCAAUCAUCAGAAGCAUCGUGGAGGGACGAUUUCUCUACAGUCGCACGUUGAACAGUCAGUUGAACAGUCGUACUAAAGAAAGCUUAUUAUAAUCCCCUCUUCGUCUGGGCAACUUCACGAGUCAGUGCUAUGUCAUCGACCCCACUACACAGUGUCUCAGUCGGACCGCGAAUAUGGUUCAGGUGCUCAUCCCAUCUACAAUGUGUGGGAAUGUCAGCGGAUGCAAGUAGACAGAAUAGGGUUAUUUCCUGCUUUUCUUUGGGAAUUGAGUGCGAAAGUUUUACAUCUGUCACGUCGUAACCUCGUGCGCUCACCAGUGGCGAUGCGGUAAGAAAAUCGCCGUCAUAGAUUUGUUUUUGAAGGAAAUACCCCACCCUUGUGUGUGGAAUUUCUUCAGGGCUCCCGGAGGCAUGAGUGAGGAUCAAUCGUGAAACUGCGAAAGUGGCAACCAGACAGGGCACCUUGAUGUGGGUGACAUCACACGCCCAGAUCGCCGUAAAUCUUUUUCCCAACAUUGGCCAACGACCCUCGUUCAUGAUUACCCCGGCUUUCCUGGCGAUAAUUCUUGAUUUUUUUCGGGUCCUGGAUCUUUGAGAGCGAGCACCGAGAAAAAAAAUGAAAUAAAAUAUUAAAAAACGAUGGACCUGGUCUCUACGGGUCCCUUGCGACAAAAUAUUUGUGGCGAAGGGCUUUAUCGGAUCUGUAGCUUCAGGAACACACAUGCCUUAUGGCAACAAGAUGACGCUUCGGGUUCCUCGGGUGCCUGUCUCAGCGCACAAACCUCACAGCCUUUCCGACAGAAAUCGAUAAGGUUGAAUUUCGUGACAGCUGUGGUGAGAAUAUUUGGGGCAGAAAGUGAAUUCGGUGGCCUACAGCCAAUUGUCCACACGAGUCAGCAGGAGAUUGCACGGAGCAGCUUUGCACCGCCAGACACUUUUUAUUUUUUAUUUUUAUUUUUAUUUUUUCCCUUAAAAUCAGAUCGGAAAAGAAUGCAUACCACUGCUGCGCGAAAGCAAGUGGAUCUCAGAAUCCGACAAACGCUGCACAGAAAGUCGAUACGCUGUUGGGUACCGGGUCAUAUAAUUUGUCUCUUGAUUUCACGUGGAGGUUUGUCAAAUUUAUGCAAUUGCAUUGAGACAUCAGUGGUGUUGGCUGAAGUUGUUCUGUAUGAUAUUAAGAUUACGUUGUUUCAUAUUUCGAUAUAUGUUUUUUGAAGUCAUUCCUUGUUCUUAUUUCUCUUUGUCAAGAGCAAGACAUGAGGGUUCUGUUAAGUGCUCAUUGGAUUGCGAAAGGGAGAAUUAAGUACGAGUUUACUUUUUAACGGUUUUCUUUUAUCUGUCUGGUUGGACAGAUGUUUCGGAGUAGAAUACUAAUUCCGGUAGAUUUGUUGAACUCUUAUCUGAAACAAGGAGGAUACGUUUGUAGACACUUCUAUUUUGGAACAUAAUUCAUUGUUGAGAUAAUAGUUACCAAAUAUAUACAUUAAUGAUUUCAUUUUCAAAACAGAAUAUCAUAAUCAGUGAAUAUGUGAGAAAAAGUUGGUCAUAUCAAAAAUGGACAUGAACAUGAAUUAACUAGAAUGUUGUUUCAGUGAAACAUUUCGUUCUUCUACCACAUGAUUGUAAUCAUCUAUCGUUCUAUUACGAGAAACACAUUGAAAAGAGUGCAAACAAUUCUGUUCAAGUACAAAAAGUUCAAGAGGACCAUCAAACCACCUUCCAGAUAAGAAAGCAAACCAAGUAUGAGAUGUGGUGAACAGUUUUUUUGGCUCUUCCUUUGGCUAUGAGUAAUAAUUGCUGGCAAGCUAUGUCUACAAAAAAAAUAGUUACUUUUAAAAGCACUAUUUCUAUGGAGAAUCAAGUUAGUGUUAUGCAGGACAGGUUCAUGAUUACAAUGGCCGCAGAAUUGGUGGGUAAAGAGGCACUAACUACAGUUGUCACAGGUGGAAGCGGUUAAUCGUGGAGGAUACAACUUACGAUUUAUCAUGAAGGAAAACAUGAGUCGAGGACCAACACAGAAACGAUGGACUAGGACGAGGACAUGCGGGCAGAAUCAAACCCCUCCCAUAAGACCAACAGUUUCCCGCUCCGUCCUUAUCGGCAUUUAAUAAGUCGGCAAUUAUGGACUAUCCUGAGAUAUCAGUAUUGGGAAUACCCAUCCCUACAUACACACUUUUUUUUUUCUGGAGAAGCGUGUAGCUGCAACAUCGUCAAACGCAUUAUGUGGAGAUUCUGGUCCGUAUUGACAAGUUAUGACAGUUUGUUGGGUGUUGCAUUGCAAAGUGAGCACGUGCAGAUCAAACAAUAAGAUGUAUUUCAAAUGUCAUGAGCUGGAACGGUUUAAACGACUGAGCAGAAUUCAUCAGGACUAACCUGAAAGACAAUAUGCUAGCUUCUGAUCUCAUAGACGUAAUCAUUGGAAUGAGGAUGACACAUGUUAAUUGGAAAGAUUACAUCAAACAUGAAGUUUGAAUGGGA